GAAUAGUCAACAUUUCAAAUCACAGAUGGAAUUGUUGCUCUGAAGCUUUGGCUUAAGUAGAGACCAGUUUUGAUAACAAGUUGGUAAAGCUUUCACUGGGAGAAAGUCGGGGUUGGCAUCCUGCCUGGAUCACACCAUCGUCAGCAGAAAGAUUUCCAUUCACACCAGCUGCACUAAAGCUCCCCACAGAAUUCUAAAGAUUUUUUGGUCUGAAAGUGAUUAUAUACUUCUUUAUUGAAGAACUUCAGAGUUUACUCAGCCUUCAAACACAAGAGUACCUAAGAGAUUUUUUUAGAAGAAUUUGAAAGGAUGGUGAGAUUUUGACUGGAAGAUCGUUGUGAAAGAACAUUCUGGCACAAACAUCAAGCUGAAGAAUAAAGUUAAAAGAGAAUUCGUAUGACUAGGAGGCUAUAGCAGGAUGAAACUGCUAGGACAAAGGUAAUCUAGUCAUUGGAGAUGAGGAUAUGAACAUGGAAAUAAUCAUAAUUAAGAAGGAAACAAAGGGGCUAAUGAUCUGAAGAUUGUUAUUUAAUUAAGGUUAGAGAUCAGCUCAAAGUGCUUCUGGACUCAGCCUGGGGUGAGCACAGCCCUGAAGGCUUAGGAUCCACUGGGGCCAUUCUGUCUGGUGGUGGAGUGAACUCUGAUGAACCAGACAGGAAGAAAGUUGAGGUGAAGUCCCCUCCAAUUUAAAGUUCUAAAAUAGCAGAAGUUUAAAUAUGUGUGAUCAAGGAAGAACACUGUAUUUCAAGAAUAAAAACAGUUGCUGCAACCAAGUAAGUGGAUAACAUGAGCUGAGCAAGAAUGAGAAGUCUAAUUCCCCUGAAAUUCAUGAGUUUAACCUCAAUGCAUUUUUCAGCUGAUUUGAUCUGAUUUCCUCACCUACUCUUCUGUAAUAUAUGUGGGCAAUACCUUUGAUAUGAAUAUUUCACUUCUAAUGAAAACUAGUUUUCAUACAUCUUCCUGCUUAGGUGGGAUUUCUGUGAGCACCUCCCUACCAUGGAGAAAGGGGAAAAAACUGUUCAUUCUCUAUUGCCAUUUGGACCUUUCUUUUUCAGAGGUUACUGCCUUUCCCUCUUAUCAUUCCCCUGAAAAGACAUUAAAAAAGGAGGCAAACUGAAAAAAAAAAGAACCAAAGAACAUUUAGGGAACACAAAACCCUCCUUCAAUAUUAAAUUUACCAGUAAAUCUCAUUGCUUAAUUUUUACAUAAUAUGAAUACAUACAUAGAGCAGCAUGUGACAGAAGAGAAACAUCAUAAAGAGAGAUCAUCAUUACUUAGAGAUAUGGAUUCAGGAGUUGGGAACAGCCAGCCCAUCUCAGCUGGCAUGGGAAGAACUUCCUGGGAAAAGUUGUUCCAGCUCAGAAAGACUAUGACUCGGCUAAAACUAAACCUGGAAGCAAGGACGUGCCUGCAGGGAGACCUCUAGGGUAGAACAAAAAUUGGAUGUAACUCCCUUUUUUUUAUUCUAUUCUUCUUGACCCAUUCAUUUUGUAUUUUCUCUGUGUAGAAAAUUAGA